AAUGGACAUGAAAGAAGAGCGAGUCUGCGUCUUGAUAAGGAUGGAUUCCUGUACGUGCGGCACUCGAACGUCAAACCGUAUGUUCAACACAGUGCAAACUACAUAUUUUCU
rnacentral:snRNA from 1 species